rnacentral:rRNA from 1 species
AGUGAACGCUGGCGGUAGGCCUAACACAUGCAAGUCGAACGGCAGCACAGUAAGAGCUUGCUCUUACGGGUGGCGAGUGGCGGACGGGUGAGGAAUACAUCGGAAUCUACUUUUUCGUGGGGGACAACGUAGGGAAACUUACGCUAAUACCGCAUACGACCUACGGGUGAAAGCAGGGGAUCUUCGGACCUUGCGCGAUUGAAUGAGCCGAUGUCGGAUUAGCUAGUUGGCGGGGUAAAGGCCCACCAAGGCGACGAUCCGUAGCUGGUCUGAGAGGAUGAUCAGCCACACUGGAACUGAGACACGGUCCAGACUCCUACGGGAGGCAGCAGUGGGUAAUAUUGGACAAAGGGCGCAAGCCUGAUCCAGCCAUACCGCGUGGGUGAAGAAGGCCUUCGGGUUGUAAAGCCCUUUUGUUGGGAAAGAAAAGCAGCAGGUUAAUACCCCGCUGUUCUGACGGUACCCAAAGAAUAAGCACCGGCUAACUUCGUG